UCGAGCGAACAGACGAGGAGCUUGCUUCUCUGACGUUAGCGGCGGACGGGUGAGUAACACGUGGAUAACCUACCUAUAAGACUGGGAUAACUUCGGGAAACCGGAGCUAAUACCGGAUAAUAUAUUGAACCGCAUGGUUCAAUAGUGAAAGACGGUUUUGCUGUCACUUAUAGAUGGAUCCGCGCCGCAUUAGCUAGUUGGUAAGGUAACGGCUUACCAAGGCAACGAUGCGUAGCCGACCUGAGAGGGUGAUCGGCCACACUGGAACUGAGACACGGUCCAGACUCCUACGGGAGGCAGCAGUAGGGAAUCUUCCGCAAUGGGCGAAAGCCUGACGGAGCAACGCCGCGUGAGUGAUGAAGGUCUUCGGAUCGUAAAACUCUGUUAUUAGGGAAGAACAAAUGUGUAAGUAACUAUGCACGUCUUGACGGUACCUAAUCAGAAAGCCACGGCUAACUACGUGCCAGCAGCCGCGGUAAUACGUAGGUGGCAAGCGUUAUCCGGAAUUAUUGGGCGUAAAGCGCGCGUAGGCGGUUUUUUAAGUCUGAUGUGAAAGCCCACGGCUCAACCGUGGAGGGUCAUUGGAAACUGGAAAACUUGAGUGCAGAAGAGGAAAGUGGAAUUCCAUGUGUAGCGGUGAAAUGCGCAGAGAUAUGGAGGGACACCAGUGGCGAAGGCGACUUUCUGGUCUGUAACUGACGCUGAUGUGCGAAAGCGUGGGGAUCAAACAGGAUUA
rnacentral:rRNA from 1 species